rnacentral:snRNA from 1 species
GGAUGUGAGGGCGAUCUGGCUGCGAUAUCUGUCACCCCAUUGAUCACCAGGGUUAAUUUGACUGAUCUUGCUGGAGAGGAAGGUGCCCCCUUCCUUCCUCAACACUCCAUGUGCGUCCCUCCCAAAGCUGUAUACUCGGAUGAAGAGGAAGACCACUCCCAGAUAGAGGAGGAUCAUUCCUCGAUCAAGGGCAUACGAAUAGCUGCACUCCCCUGCUAGGACCUCCAAACACGCUCUUAAGACGUGUUUGUUUCGUGCUGACUGAGAAGUAAGUCACUACUUUUGACAUCUUCACAGAUAUAAAUUUGAAACAAGUGUAACAUUUGAUAUC